rnacentral:ncRNA from 1 species
GCUCUUGCCGUCCGAAUCGGCACCCUUUUGGUGUACAUGCCUGCUAGCCGGGCUAGGCGGCAGAGCGCCU